GUCAAUGUGGCAUAGUGGUUUGAGCAUUAGACAAUGACUCUGGAGACCAGGAUUCAAUUCCCUGUUCAGCCA